GACGGAGGAUGCAAGUGUUAUCCGGAAUCACUGGGCGUAAAGCGUCUGUAGGUGGUCAAAUAAGUCAACUGUUAAAUCUUGAGGCUCAACCUCAAAAUCGCAGUCGAAACUAUUAGACUAGAGUAUAGUAGGGGUAAAGGGAAUUUCCAGUGGAGCGGUGAAAUGCGUAGAUAUUGGAAAGAACACCGAUGGCGAAGGCACUUUACUGGGCUAUUACUAACACUCAGAGACGAAAGCUAGGGUAGCAAAUGGG
rnacentral:rRNA from 3 species